GUGUGUGAANAAGGCCUUCGGGUUGUAAAGCACUUUCAGUUGUGAGGAAAGGUUAGUACGUUAAUACCUGCUAGCUGUGACGUUAGCAACAGAAGAAGCACCGGCUAACUCCGUGCCAGCAGCCGCGGUAAUACGGAGGGUGCGAGCGUUAAUCGGAAUUACUGGGCGUAAAGCGUACGCAGGCGGUUUGUUAAGCGAGAUGUGAAAGCCCCGGGCUCAACCUGGGAACUGCAUUUCGAACUGGCAAACUAGAGUGUGAUAGAGGGUGGUAGAAUUUCAGGUGUAGCGGUGAAAUGCGUAGAGAUCUGAAGGAAUACCGAUGGCGAAGGCAGCCACCUGGGUCAACACUGACGCUCAUGUACGAAAGCGUGGGGAGCAAACGGGAUUAGAUACCCCGGUAGUCCACGCCGUAAACGAUGUCUACUAGGAGUUCGGUUUUUCGGAACUGUCUUCCAAAGCUAACGCAUUAAGUAGACCGCCUGGGGAGUACGGCCGCAAGGUUAAAACUCAAAUGAAUUGACGGGGGCCCGCACAAGCGGUGGAGCAUGUGGUUUAAUUCGAUGCAACGCGAAGAACCUUACCUACACUUGACAUCCAGAGAACUUACUAGA
rnacentral:rRNA from 1 species